UAGGAAAUCGGGAGUCGAACCCGCACCAUAAAAUCUUGGAUUUUAUGGUGCGGGUUCUAUUAUACUAUCCCCUA
rnacentral:tRNA from 1 species